UAUGAUUUAGUGUAGGGUGCACAAAAGUUUUUGAAACUUUAGGGAAUAGUUCAAGUCUAUUAGCCAUAA
rnacentral:tRNA from 1 species